rnacentral:rRNA from 1 species
GAUGAACGCUGGCGGCGUGCCUAAUACAUGCAAGUCGAGCGAACAGACGAGGAGCUUGCUCCUCUGACGUUAGCGGCGGACGGGUGAGUAACACGUGGAUAACCUACCUAUAAGACUGGGAUAACUUCGGGAAACCGGAGCUAAUACCGGAUAAUAUAUUGAACCGCAUGGUUCAAUAGUGAAAGACGGUUUUGCUGUCACUUAUAGAUGGAUCCGCGCCGCAUUAGCUAGUUGGUAAGGUAACGGCUUACCAAGGCAACGAUGCGUAGCCGACCUGAGAGGGGGAGCGGCCCACACGGAACUGAGAGACGGGCCGACGCCCGACGGGAGGCAGCAGUAGGAAAUCUUCCGAAAGGGGGGAAAGCCUGCAGGAGCAACGCGGGGGGGGUGAUAAAGGCCUGCGAUGGGUAAAACCCUGUUAUAGGGAAAAAAAAAAUGUGAAAGUAAAGAUGCCCUUCUGGACGGGACUAAAGAAGAAAGCCACGGCUAAAUCCGG